CCUACGGGUGGCUGCAGUGGGGAAUAUUGGACAAUGGGCGAAAGCCUGAUCCAGCCAUGCCGCGUGUGUGAAGAAGGCCUUCGGGUUGUAAAGCACUUUCAGUGGGGAAGAAAGCCUUGGGGCUAAUACCCUCGAGGAAGGACAUCACCCACAGAAGAAGCACCGGCUAACUCCGUGCCAGCAGCCGCGGUAAUACGGAGGGUGCGAGCGUUAAUCGGAAUUACUGGGCGUAAAGCGCGCGUAGGCGGUCUGAUAAGCCGGUUGUGAAAGCCCCGGGCUCAACCUGGGAACGGCAUCCGGAACUGUCAGGCUAGAGUGCAGGAGAGGAAGGUAGAAUUCCCGGUGUAGCGGUGAAAUGCGUAGAGAUCGGGAGGAAUACCAGUGGCGAAGGCGGCCUUCUGGACUGACACUGACGCUGAGGUGCGAAAGCGUGGGUAGCAAACAGGAUUAAAUACCCCUGUAGUC
rnacentral:rRNA from 1 species